rnacentral:lncRNA from 1 species
CUGCUACACUGGCAUUUUGGCUGCUCAUGGAAUAGGAUGCUCCAAAAAAGAGGGCUUCUGGGGCAUACAGUGACACGUGCAUGUACUCUAUGAGAACAGAAAUGAAAAUUCCAAUACCACUGGUGUUCAAAACACUCAUACCACAAGGUCAGGACCAAGAAAAGCCACUCUCCGACCUGAUGGUGUGAUGGUUAUACCACGUCAAUAAAAUCAGAAGAUCGCCUACAUCCUAAGAAUAGCCAGAGAAUACAACGUUCAAUUCGAAACUUUUCUUUUGUAAACAGCAGUGGAAACCGGCGUGGGAAGCGCACCGAACACAUGC